AGCGGCGGACGGGUGAGUAACGCGUGGGAAUAUGCCCUUCUCUAAGGAAUAGCCUCGGGAAACUGAGAGUAAUACCUUAUACGCCCUUCGGGGGAAAGAUUUAUCGGAGAAGGAUUAGCCCGCGUUAGAUUAGGUAGUUGGUGGGGUAAUGGCCUACCAAGCCUACGAUCUAUAGCUGGUUUGAGAGGAUGAUCAGCCACACUGGGACUGAGACACGGCCCAGACUCCUACGGGAGGCAGCAGUAGGGAAUCUUAGACAAUGGGGGAAACCCUGAUCUAGCCAUGCCGCGUGUGUGAUGAAGGCCUUAGGGUCGUAAAGCACUUUCGCCAGAGAUGAUAAUGACAGUAUCUGGUAAAGAAACCCCGGCUAACUCCGUGCCAGCAGCCGCGGUAAUACGGAGGGGGUUAGCGUUGUUCGGAAUUACUGGGCGUAAAGCGCACGUAGGCGGAUUAGUAAGUUAGAGGUGAAAUCCCAGGGCUCAACCCUGGAACUGCCUUUAAUACUGCUAGUCUUGAGUUCGAGAGAGGUAAGUGGAAUUCCGAGUGUAGAGGUGAAAUUCGUAGAUAUUCGGAGGAACACCAGUGGCGAAGGCGGCUUACUGGCUCGAUACUGACGCUGAGGUGCGAAAGUGUGGGGAGCAACAGGAUUAGAUACCCUGGUAGUCACACGA
rnacentral:rRNA from 1 species